AGUGAACGCUGGCGGCAGGCCUAAUACAUGCAAGUCGAACGGCAGCACAGUAAGAGCUUGCUCUUACGGGUGGCGAGUGGCGGACGGGUGAGGAAUACAUCGGAAUCUACUUUUUCGUGGGGGAUAACGUAGGGAAACUUACGCUAAUAGCUCAUAUGACCUACGGGUGAAAGCAGGGGAUCUACAGAGCUUGCGCGAUUGAAUGAGCAGAUGUCGGAUUAGCUAGUUGGCGGGGUAAAGGCACACAAAGGCGACGAUCCGUAGCUGGUCUGAGAGGAUGAUCAGCCACACUGGAACUGAGACACGGUCCAGACUCCUACGGGAGGCAACAGUGGGGAAUAUUGCACAAUGGGCGCAAGCCUGAUCGAGCCAUACCGCGUGGGUGAAGAAGUUCUUCGGCUUGUAGAGCUCUUUUGUUGGGAAAGAAAAUACGCAGGUUAAUACCUCGCUGUUCUGACGGUACCCAAAGAGAAAGCAACGGCUAACUUCGUG
rnacentral:rRNA from 1 species